CUGAUCUACAUGAGUCUCAACAUCUUGGAGCUUACAUCUACAAGGUUUCAGAGAGGCUCCAUCUGAUUGUGGAUAUUUUGCAAAUGAAUGGAUUACAAAAAAGAACUUUAAAGAGGAAAACAUUGUACUAGAAGACCUCUUCCCUGCACUCCUGUAGGUCAAUUACCAAAACAGACAAACAAACUGUGGACUCUUGAAGAAAACGG
rnacentral:lncRNA from 1 species